AUGACAACUGACCACCCGUUGACGUUACAAACACAAGGAUUAGUGCUGAAGGUUUUAGGUUUAGUAUGGAGGCCGGAAACGGAUGACUUUGUGUUUGACCUCAGGCCGUUACUGAGCAUUCUAAAGCAAAAGGAAAACACAAAGAGAAGUGUUCUGCAGUCGUCUGCACGUAUCUUCGACCCUCUUGGUUUCUUAACUCCCUUCACCAUCAGGAUCAAGAGCAUGUUCCAGGAAAUGUGGGAGAGGGGACUCAGCUGGGACGAAGAAUUACCACCUGAUCUGACACGAGAAUGGCAACAGUGGUGUUCAGAACUACCCCAGUUACACCAGCUCACCAUACCAAGGUGGUACCGAACAGACAUGAGGCCACAGAAUAACCACACCCUGAAACUACACGUGUUCUGUGAUGCAAGUGAAAGGGCUUACAGUGCAGUAGCUUACUUGCAAGGUGAGUCACAAGACAGGGAAACCACAAGUCUAGUCGCAUCCAAGUCCCGGGUAGCCCCACUUAAGAAAAUGGCGCUGCCACGCCUGGAGCUCAUGGGAGCUGUGAUUGGAGCGAGACUAGCAAACAACUUGAUGACCACACUGAAAAUGGAAGAAAAACAGAUCAAAAUGUGGACAGACUCAAUGAUCGUGCUGCAUUGGAUUUGCAGCUCAGCUCAGAAAUGGAAACAGUUUGUUGCGAACAGAGUGACGGAGAUUCAGUCCUUGACCAAUCCAGAGUCAUGGUCACAUAUUGAAGGGAAAACUAAUCCAGCUGACCUCCCUACAAGAGGACAAACUGUUCGAAACUUGACACAGAGCGAGCUAUGGUGGAAUGGACCCAGAAUUCUGACAUCACCCAAUCAGUCCGAAGAGACUGAUGAUAACAAGGUUCCGGAUGAGGUGAAUAUAGAACUCAAGUCCAGUUGCCAGGUUACUGUACAACUCGCAGCAAACAGCACAGACAGCACUGAACCUGUGUUGGAGCUUGAAAGGUACAGCAAACUGAAAAGAGUGUUCAGAGUCACCGCCUGGAUAAAGAGAUUCAUAGCCUAUGCUCGUACAACCAUAAAGAUGCAAGGUGAACUGACUGCUGACGAACUGUUCGAUGCAGAAAAGUACUGGAUUAAGGUAACACAACAACCGAGUUUUGGACAGGAGAUCAAACUACUGACGGCAGGAAAAAGCCUAAACAAUGACUGUAAAAUCAUUGUUUCAGGUGCUUCCUGA
rnacentral:lncRNA from 13 species